rnacentral:misc_RNA from 1 species
CUCUUCGUUCCCCCCUCACUAAACAGUUAUCUCGAACGUUUUCAGUGUAUCGUGUUGUGAUUUUAAGCGUCCUACCAAACUUUUUAGAUGUCGGAGCAGUGCGUGAAGAUAAUUCGUCUUUACCCGGAUGAAGAAGGUGGUGUUACAAGUGAGUGAAACCAGUGAAAUCCGUAUAUUAUUUUAUACGGAAAUCCACGUAAAGAGGACUUAUUGAUUUUUCCACGCGGACUUCCAACGCAUGGAUUGGACCACAUUUGUAACGGCUCGACUACAUCAAACGAGACUAAAGGAAGUUAUUGCUGUAAUCACCCGGACAACGAGAAGGACACAUCGGACGCCGGCUUGACGGCCCGGCAGGCAGCUCUUGUCCCAUAAACAAACGGCCCGAAGGAGGUCGCCACUGUUCCCGUAGGACUGCCGGGUGACCGGGAUGAAUAUUUCACGGUACAUUCGCGGGAUUUGCCGAGGCUGUUUUCUUCCUGUUUCCCGAGACGAGGUAAGCCUCGUUCACCGCGUCGAUCGCGCUUCGCUUUAAUGACAUCCGGCUUCCAUGCGAGGGGUGAAAAACGGGAAUACGGGGUUCGUUCCGCCGUCACGCUAGCGAUUUUUUUCAACCCGUAUCACAUCGAGCCAUCAGAAAUUUUCGACAGUCCUCCGUGCGGUAUGGAGUCCGAAACACUGGUCUGAGUGACAGAAGAUGGUGGUUGAAUUAUUCAAGAUUUCCAGUCACCGAACCUGACGAUACCAUCUCCUUGGAGAACAUCUUGCUGCACGGUCUCGUAACUUCUAAGGCCACGAUUAUACGGGAUGGAUUUGAGGACCUUUGUGAUGUUUGGCAAAGGACGAAUCACUUCUUGCGGAUAACUGCACACACAAUCAUCAUUGAGGCAAGAAGAACCAAAAAUGUUUGGAUUCGAAAAAACCAGUCAACUACAGCGAGAGCUUUCGCGGGUCAUUUUUACUCUCAGGGUAACGGAAUAAGUGCCUUUCACAGGUCUCGCAACGCGUCCAUGUGCAAACGUGAAAAUUACGUAAAUCGAAUUCAAACCAUAGUGUUGUUCCACCCUAUAAGACACCAUGUUUUGAAUAUUGGGCUAUGUAUUACCUGUAAAAUAAAAUACCAGACUGCGAUACUUCCUUUAUAUUAAAUAUCACGUUGCUAUAUUGACUGUACCCUAAGUUUUCACUACUGUACAAAUACAUAAAAAGCUGACGGUGAUGGGCGGGAAAUGAUCAACUUGAUUGAAGUUGAUGGUUCACUGAGUACUUGAACGGAGUCAUGAUUUUUCGACAAUUUCAAAUAUCAGAGCUAGCUCCUGAUAGAGGAUAAGCUCAAGCACGUUUCGAAAGGGUGCUGAAUCUGGUACUAGUGGCACCAUCCAUAGGGAAGCCUGAGAGACACCAUCCUGGCAUUCUGUCCUUAAAGUAGACACAUCGAUAACUGACCAGCAUUCACCACCAAGAGAGCACGAGAUGAUCCAAAGCAUACUUAUCGUGUGGGAAGCUUUCUGUAAGAAAAUCGAUUCGGUCAACCCUUAGCAGACUGAUUGGACAUCAGAGAUUGCAAGAAACGCAGUCAUAGUAUUGAAGAAACGACCGCUGGUAUAAUACAAAUUGGAUAAAUUGUAAUUUAGUGGUUUAGUACUUAAAAUCCAGGUUACACUGAGUAGUGAGAAUACAAUAUCAUCCACAUCGUUUUCAGCAGAAGUGUAUUGCGCCUGUGCACGCUCGCAAGCGCGAACUUGAACGAUACUUACAAACUAAGAUCCUUAUGUAAGAUUUUUCAUACUCGGCUUAAGAUAAUGUAUGUUGCACUUCCGUGCUAUCAUAUGAUGGUCAAAUAUUUUAUCUAUUGUUCAAACAGAUUCGUAGCAUUUGUUUUGUGUCUUGGAUUUGUGUAGUCUUUCAUAACAUGGAAAAAAUUGUACACUAACACCAAAAUACCUGUACUGAAA